CCCAGACAGCCAGGAUGUUGGCUUAGAAGCAGCCAUCAUUUAAAGAAAGCGUAAUAGCUCACUGGUCGAGUCGGCCUGCGCGGAAGAUGUAACGGGGCUAAACCAUGCACCGAAGCUGCGGCAGCGACACUAAGUGUUGUUGGGUAGGGGAGCGUUCUGUAAGCCUGCGAAGGUGUGUCGUGAGGCAUGCUGGAGGUAUCAGAAGUGCGAAUGCUGACAUAAGUAACGAUAAUGCGGGUGAAAAACCCGCACGCCGGAAGACCAAGGGUUCCUGUCCAACGUUAAUCGGGGCAGGGUGAGUCGACCCCUAAGGC
rnacentral:rRNA from 1 species